GAGGAGGACAGUCCUGCCAACAUAACAGUUUGUUCAAUAAUAGGAGACAAACAGAAACACAGAGGUGCUAUACAUUCCGAUGGAAAAGACAACAAAAGCAUCUCCCAUCAUUUUGGCGUGGCUCAGAUCAAGAGGAGAAUUUUAAGAAAGGUGAGGUUGGGCACACACAAGAAGACAUAGAUCACAUGUGUCCAGGCAUAUGAGUAGACAGGAGUUUCACACUCUGCCAAACUUACUUCAGAAAGCUUCUCAAGAUCCCGCACUGCACACUUAGAUAUAGUCUUUGACUACAACAAGGGGAUGAAAGUACAGAGAGGUCCAAUUGAAAUCAAUUCUGUGCUGCGUCAUUUCUUCAUUCUGGAAGUCGAUGGACAUGAUUUAUCAUGGCAUCAGGUGUGCAGUUUGUCGACUAUCAGCAGUCUUGUUCACCAGUUGUGCAACUUGAGCUGGUAGCUUUAUUGCUUGAAGCCACAGCAUAAGAGGGGGAAGGUGCAGGCUCAUCAAAAAGUCUCAAAAGUUGAAACUAGGAAAAGAAGUUUGUCAAGAGUGUGAAUCUAUUUGCUUUGAAAACCAUCGUUACGAUGAUUUGGUUCCCUUUGAAACUUGAUACAUACUAUGUGUAUGUUGAAUGAAUUGAGAUGCUUAAAUAAAGAACCGCUAUUCAAAUAUCAGGAAACUGCAUUUUUCAUACUAAAGGGUAAAUGAUGUCGCCAUUUCCUGUAUGUAUUUAAAUGAGAUAUGUUUCCACAAUUAAUAUUUUUAGGGAAUUUUUCUCAUCCUAAUGAAUGAGAUUAAAUUGUACAGCGUCAUAUGAGAUUAAUAUGUGUUUUCUGUUUCUUUAAAAUUGGUGAAAAAUUGUCAGAAGAUAAUUAGACCAGUAUCCAUUACUGCAAUCAUACAAUCAAAUAUACAGGGACAAACCCACUGGGCAUUAAAUAUAAUUAAACCCUGUUUAGGGGCACGAGGCAAACAGAGUUACUUUCAAACGUUAAAGCUGCACUCUCACAUUUUGGACGUUUUGACAACUUUUCUCAUUUUAUGUCUUGGAUUGGAACCAUCCAAUUUUUGCGAAAAAUUAAAUGGCAGAUUUUUCUAUUUAAGUUAAAACAUUGAUGUUUUAUGCACUUUUCUUAAACCGUUAGUAACAUUAAUUUUCGAACGGAAAUAUGAAAUCUGUGAUCUGAUCUUUUGUCAGCAAUCUUUUAUCAUUGGUUUGCAGAUAAUUACGCAAAAAAUUGCUCAUUCAAAAACAAAAAAAGUUGUGAAAACGGUAUAUCUGUGGGAGUGCAGCUCUAAAUGUUUAAUUUCUUGAUUUUACUACUGUAUUAGAAAUUACAGGGGUUGGGGCAUAUUUUUAGUGUUUUUAUUGCUUUUUAUGAUUCAUACAGUCAUACUUUAUUCCUCAGGGCAUAACUUACAAAUAGACAAAACUGGAAAAUGGUCGUUUCAAAAGGUCAAAAAUAAUGCAAGUUGAACAAUCAUAUUGUUCAUGGCUUGUAUUUUUGGUAUAUUUUGUUGCAUAUGCUAUAGAAAGUUGAAAGUUAAAAAUAAAUUCAUAGUUGAAAUGAUGGCUUUGAAUGGUAUUGUCAGAUGAGAAACG